AACGCACCUUGCGCUCCUUGGUAUUCCGAGGAGCAUGCCUGUUUGAGUGUCAUGAAAUUCUCAACCUUUUCGGCUUUUCCUAAGUUGAUCAGGCUUGGAUGUGGGAGUUUGCGGGCUUCUUACGAAGUCGGCUCUCCUUAAAUUCAUUAGUAGGGACCUCUGUUGCCUUAGCUUUUGGUGUGAUAAUUAUCUACGCCAUCAUGUGAAGCAGCUUUAAAUUGGAGGUUACUGCUUUCUAACCGUCUCCUAUGGGACAUUUUCUGACAAUUUGACCUCAAAUCAGGUAGGACUACCCGCUGAACUUAA
rnacentral:misc_RNA from 1 species